CCUGGCUCACGAUGAACGCUAGCUACAGGCUUAACACAUGCAAGUCGAGGGGCAGCAUGGUCUUAGCUUGCUAAGGCCGAUGGCGACCGGCGCACGGGUGAGUAACACGUAUCCAACCUGCCGUCUACUCUUGGACAGCCUUCUGAAAGGAAGAUUAAUACAAGAUGGCAUCAUGAGUCCGCAUGUUCACAUGAUUAAAGGUAUUCCGGUAGACGAUGGGGAUGCGUUCCAUUAGAUAGUAGGCGGGGUAACGGCCCACCUAGUCUUCGAUGGAUAGGGGUUCUGAGAGGAAGGUCCCCCACAUUGGAACUGAGACACGGUCCAAACUCCUACGGGAGGCAGCAGUGAGGAAUAUUGGUCAAUGGGCGAGAGCCUGAACCAGCCAAGUAGCGUGAAGGAUGACUGCCCUAUGGGUUGUAAACUUCUUUUAUAAAGGAAUAAAGUCGGGUAUGGAUACCCGUUUGCAUGUACUUUAUGAAUAAGGAUCGGCUAACUCCGUGCCAGCAGCCGCGGUAAUACGGAGGAUCCGAGCGUUAUCCGGAUUUAUUGGGUUUAAAGGGAGCGUUGAUGGAUGUUUAAGUCAGUUGUGAAAGUUUGCGGCUCAACCGUAAAAUUGCAGUUGAUACUGGAUAUCUUGAGUGCAGUUGAAGCAGGCGGAAUUCGUGGUGUAGCGGUGAAAUGCUUAGAUAUCACGAAGAACUCCGAUUGGAAGGCAGCCUGCUAAGCUGCAACUGACAUUGAGGCUCGAAAGUGUGGGUAUCAAACAGGAUUAGAUACCCUGGUAGUCCACACGGUAAACGAUGAAUACUCGCUGGUUGCGAUAUACUGCAAGCGGCCAAGCGAAAGCGUUAAGUAUUCCACCUGGGGAGUACGCCGGCAACGGUGAAACUCAAAGGAAUUGACGGGGGCCCGCACAAGCGGAGGAACAUGUGGUUUAAUUCGAUGAUACGCGAGGAACCUUACCCGGGCUUAAAUUGCAGAUGAAUUACGGUGAAAGCCGUAAGCCGCAAGGCAUCUGUGAAGGUGCUGCAUGGUUGUCGUCAGCUCGUGCCGUGAGGUGUCGGCUUAAGUGCCAUAACGAGCGCAACCCUUGUUGUCAGUUACUAACAGGUUCCGCUGAGGACUCUGACAAGACUGCCAUCGUAAGAUGUGAGGAAGGUGGGGAUGACGUCAAAUCAGCACGGCCCUUACGUCCGGGGCUACACACGUGUUACAAUGGGGGGUACAGAGGGCCGCUACCACGCGAGUGGAUGCCAAUCCCCAAAACCUCUCUCAGUUCGGACUGGAGUCUGCAACCCGACUUCAUGAAGCUGGAUUCGCUAGUAAUCGCGCAUCAGCCACGGCGCGGUGAAUACGUUCCCGGGCCUUGUACACAC
rnacentral:rRNA from 1 species